rnacentral:rRNA from 1 species
UGCCAGCCGCCGCGGUAAUACGGAGGGUGCAAGCGUUAAUCGGAAUUACUGGGCGUAAAGCGCGCGUAGGUGGUCUGUUAAGUCGGAUGUGAAAGCCCCGGGCUCAACCUGGGAACUGCAUUCGAUACUGGCAGACUAGAGUGCGGGAGAGGGAGGUAGAAUUCCAUGUGUAGCGGUGAAAUGCGUAGAUAUUUGGAGGAACACCAAUGGCGAAGGCAACUUACUGGACAUUUACUGACGCUCAGACACGAAAGCUAGGUUAGCGAAAGGGAUUAGAUA